UUUUUUAGUAAUAUCACUUUAUAACAUCAUAUGCAAGCGGGCGCAUCAUCUGUGUCCCAUGGACACAUUUCCCCAUUUAUUUACCAUUGUUUGUAUUUUGGCCGUUUUUCGUUUUUUUCACAAGACAUUGUCAGUAUGUUUUCGGCUUAUAAGUUUCAAUUUCCCGUUGCGCGGUAUAUUUCGCCUCCAAUAUUGUGAAGCAGCAAAAUUGUGGUCGAAUAUGUGAACAUUGAAUGUAUCUCGUCAUUCGGAGAAUCUAUUUUAAUGAUAGAUCUUUUAUCGUUUCUGUUCAAUAAGUUUAUAAACAUAUGUCCUUAACCAUUGUGUUUUUAAUCAUUCCAGAAAUACGUUAUAAAUACUUAAG
rnacentral:lncRNA from 1 species